UAUAUGCCCAUAAAUACUAGCCAGAGAAAAUAAGCAAAAGGUUGGCAACCUUUUCCAGAUAUUAACCCUUAAUAUGUCAAACUAGAAAUUCUGUGGUUUAUCUAGACCACAAUAUUAACUGUUACUUCUGACCUCCUUUAUAUUGUGAACUUUUUCUCCACAGGGUGUUUGCUUAUAAUUUCUGAUAAUUAUGUAAAAAGUUAUUUUUGACAGAAGCCUAAAAAAGGGCUGGGUUCACUUCAGGGAAGAAGAGGUCUCCAGAAAUCUCAUCUGUCUCUCACUACUGCUUACUCAGAAAAACUCAUUUUGUUCAGUACUUCUAGAUUUAGCUGAAUGGGGUGGGAAAGAGGAAAUGUGUAAAACUGCGUAACGGCACCUGGUGCGCUGCCAUGUCCUUGUUGCUCAGAAGCUGGCCCUGAAGAUGGAGACAUCCCACAACCCCAAAGGUGACAGCUCAGUGACAUGGAGCAUGGGAAAGACUUACCUCCACAGGACAGCUCAUCCUGCAGCAGAACAAGGUGGACUGGGCA